rnacentral:rRNA from 1 species
GAUGAACGCUGGCGGCGUGCUUAACACAUGCAAGUCGAGCGAGAAAAGUUCUUCGGAGCUUUUCUAGCGGCGGACGGGUGAGUAACACGUGGGCAACCUGCCUCAUAGAGGGGAAUAGCCUUCCGAAAGGAAGAUUAAUACCGCAUAACAUUGUUGAAAGGCAUCUUUUAACAAUCAAAGGAGCAAUCCGCUAUGAGAUGGGCCUGCGGCGCAUUAGCUAGUUGGUGAGGUAACGGCUCACCAAGGCGACGAUGCGUAGCCGACCUGAGAGGGUGAUCGGCCACAUUGGAACUGAGACACGGUCCAGACUCCUACGGGAGGCAGCAGUGGGGAAUAUUGCACAAUGGGGGAAACCCUGAUGCAGCAACGCCGCGUGAGUGAUGAAGGUCUUCGGAUUGUAAAGCUCUGUCUUUAGGGACGAUAAUGACGGUACCUAAGGAGGAAGCCACGGCUAACUACGUGCCAGCCGCCGCGGUAAAAC